ensembl:snRNA U6 U6 spliceosomal RNA
GUGUUCACUUCAGCAACACAUAUGCUAAAAUCGGAAUGAUACAGAGAAGAUCAGCAUGACCCCUGUGCAAGGAGGUCGUGCAAAUUCACGAAGUGUUUCAUAUUUUU